rnacentral:lncRNA from 1 species
GAAGUCCACACAGUGCAGCAGAAGGGAGGCUAGAAAGUCAAUUCUAUCACGAGGAGAGUAGGGGCGGGGCGUGCCUCAAAACCAGGAGCAGGAUGUGCCCCGAAGAUCAGAGGACAAGGGCAGCUGAGGGCUGGGGAAGGCAUCGACCCUGUGUGUGGGCUCAGAGACGACAGGGAGGUCUGGAGCCGUGAGGAGCAUGACAGCAGACAGACAGACGCUUCCAGAGUCACCGAGCACCAGGCAUGAGAGGCAGGGAGCAGGUGGCAGCCACCCCACCUGUGAGCCCCACCAGAAGCACAAGGAGGACACCAGGUCCCCCUCCUGCAAGGACCAGAAGGCAGCUGUGCCAAAGGCAUUUCCAACCCUACAGGGGCAGAGGCAGACUGGCCAGGGGAAUGGAGGCGGGGAGUCCCCAGACCAGAAUGACAUCCGUCCAGGUGACCUACAAUUCGCAGGGUCAAGGCCCCUUCAGCUGGACCCACGCACCAGGGCACCGGAGGCUCCAGGCCCACACUUCCUUCCAGUGCUGGGAGCUUAGGGAACACAAUAAGGGUGACAAGAGUUGCUGGGAGCGCCCUAUGUUACAAAGCCACAGUUCACCUGUGAGUUGCAAGGUUUCAGCAGAGGGGGGCAGCUCCCAUCUCAGCCCUGACCCCCUGCACACAGGGGUGUGGGGCGCUUCUCCCCCAGAGAAAGGGACGAGGCAGGGAAGAAAGGGUGGCAACACGGCCAGGGGACCAUGCGCUUCCUCUGCCCCAGUCAGCCUCGCAUGCGCCGCACCUCAUGCGACCUCACAGCACCCCGUGAACAAACGCUACCCAGUCUCCUCCUCUCACUGGGAGGAAGCCACCUGGCCAAGGUCACGGAGGCGGGAGGCGGCAGCUUCCAGGCCCUGGUCAGUCUGGCUCUGGAGGGGGUCAAGACAGCAGGAGGCGGCAGGGCGGGGUCAGAGUACACACAGCAACGCACGCCUCACANNNNNNNNNNNNNNNNNNNNNNNNNNNNNNN